rnacentral:rRNA from 1 species
GAGUUUGAUCGUGGCUCAGAUUGAACGCUGGCGGCAUGCCUUACACAUGCAAGUCGAACGGUAACAGGUCUUCGGAUGCUGACGAGUGGCGAACGGGUGAGUAAUACAUCGGAACGUGCCCGAUCGUGGGGGGAUAACGAAGCGGAAGCUUUGCUAAUACCGCAUAAGAUCUACGGAUGAAAGCAGGGGACCGCAAGGCCUUGCGCGAACGGAGCGGCCGAUGGCAGGAUUAGGUAGUUGGUGGGAUAAAAGCUUACCAAGCCGACGAUCUGUAGCUGGUCUGAGAGGACGACCAGCCACACUGGGACUGAGACACGGCCCAGACUCCUACGGGAGGCAGCAGUGGGGAAUUUUGGACAAUGGGCGAAAGCCUGAUCCAGCCAUGCCGCGUGCAGGAUGAAGGCCUUCGGUU